UACGUAGGCAGCAAGCGUUGUUCGGAGUUACUGGGCGUAAAGGGUGUGUAGGCGGCCUUCUAAGUUUGGUGUGAAAUCUCCCGGCUCAACUGGGAGGGUGCGCCGAAUACUGAAGGGCUAGAGUGCGGGAGAGGAGAGUGGAAUUCCUGGUGUAGCGGUGAAAUGCGUAGAUAUCAGGAGGAACACCGGUGGUGUAGACGGCUCACUGGACCGUAACUGACGCUGAGACACGAAAGCGUGGGUAGCAAACAGG
rnacentral:rRNA from 1 species